GAUGAACGCUGGCGGCGUGCCUAAUACAUGCAAGUCGAGCGAACAGACGCGGAUCUUGCUCCUCUGACGUUAGCGGCGGACGGGUGAGUAACACGUGGAUAACCUCCCUAUAAGACUGGGAUAACUUCGGGAAACCGGAGCUAAUACCGUAUAAUAUCUUGAACCGCAUGGUUCAAUAGUGAAAGACGGUUUUGCUGUCUCUUAUAGAUGGAUCCGCGCCGCAUUAGCUAGUUGUUAAGGUAACGGCUUACCACGGCAACGCUGCGUAGCCGACCUGAGAGGGGGAUAGGCCACACGGGAACUGGGACACGGUCCAGACGACUAAGGGAGGCAGCAGUAGGGAAUCUUCCGCAAUGGGCGAAAGCCUGACGGAGCAACGCCGCGUGAGUGAUGAAGGUCUUCGGAUCGUAAAAAUCUGUUAUGAGGGAAGAACAAAUGUGUAAGUAACUAUGCACGGCUUGACGGUACCUAAUCAGAAAGCCACGGCUAACUACGUG
rnacentral:rRNA from 1 species